CUUGUGUUUGCUCUCUUAAUUUCUUAAAGAUGGCUUUUACACUAAUAAUUGCCUUUUGCUUUGAAGUCCUGCUUCUGGAUGUAGCAGUGAGGUGCUAGAAAGGGCUGGGGAGAGUGUUUUAUUCAUCAGGAAGCUAAAGGGAGACUUGAGGUGAUGUUUCUGCCACUGAUGAAAUUAAUUUCCUUAUCUAGAAGCUCUUAAAUCAUCCCUGGCAGAGGUGACAUUAUAAAAAUAAUUCUGAAGAACAAAAGUUCUUGCCCUUGGAACACACUGCAUUGCACCAAAUAACUCUGGGAGACAGCAAAGAAAGGAUGAAGAUGAAAGAGGGCGCCAUAUCAAAAUAUCACACUGCAAGCUGUCUCCCCCUGUGACUUCUAUGUCCAUUAGACAAAACUAUUCAAAACUCAGCUGUCAAAGGAAAAAAAACCCCAUGAGCCUUUCAGCAUCGUGACAGUGCUUAAGCAGCUGGACCUGUUUGCACUUCUGUCAGGGGACCAACAUGCUCCCACACACUCUUCCUCCCCUCACCCCUGCCUAUUUCCUCCUUACCCACACCCAGAAGUGACUUUUCUUGAGAAAUGGGAAAGUUAUCAGCAUGUCCCCCUGCUUCUUGGGCAACUUGCAAUCUGCCUUUGCUCUCAGAGGUGGGUGACAUCUGCUUUCUUUUAUGGGCUGCUCAGAAAGCAGCAGGCAGAACUGACUGCAGGAAGGCUGGAGCUGUCCCUGUGCUGUGUGGGUAACACAAGGGCAUGGCUGUGGAGGAGGAGUGAUGGGAGGUGGUGGGUGAUGGAGCAGAGCCCAGGGCCACCCACUGCCGACCUGCUCAGCUGAGACGAGCCUUGAAAGGCUGUAGAAUCUUGCAUGGUCAGUGAACGCUGGCAGAGAAAGGGAAAGGCAUCCAGCUGCUGUGGCUGCUCUCUUUCUGGAAAAAAAACAACCUAAAAAUUCCAGUUGUGCUUUGAGAAUGACUUGCUGUUGCCCUGUUUCUCUGCCUGUUAAAGACAUUUUGUUUCUCUGCCUCUAAUAAAAGUAUUCCUUGGUAGGCCA
rnacentral:lncRNA from 1 species